CGCCAUUGUUGGAUCAACAAAAUCCUAAUUUGUUCCAUGCAAAACUGCUUACUAUAUAUUGAGAACUAAUCUGAUUAAGAUUGAACAGGAUUUUGUGCUGCUGUUUGGAGAGGGAACAUCAGCCAAGUUUUUGGAGAGGUGGCCAACUACAUUCAAGCAAAAGAUCAUCAUGCUAAGCAAGACCCUAAGCAAGGCCACUCAGGGAGCUGAACUUCAGGAGCUGAUCCAGAUGGCAGAAUCUGCAGUUGAUGAGGGAGCUGACACUAAUGCUGACGGAUGGGACGGUGACCUUUCCUCCAUCCUUCUCCUGCUCCAUUUGAUUCCUCCUUCAUCACAAGGCCGCAAAAGACCAGGCAAGAUGUCUGCAUCCCGAGCUGAACAGC